GUGAUCAACGCAUAUACAUAUUCACUGUGUGAGUUUUAGCGGUAGACUAUCAACAACUGAAUGCAGCCGAAUGUUCACGACCAACGCACAAAUAGAAUGCAUUUUCAUUCAACUGUAUCGAUCAUCUACAACAGAACAUUUAUGAAAAUAUUCUCUGAGAUAGGAGAAGAUGGUUUGAGCAUAGAAGAAUAUGUUUACAUACAGUCCGACAGGUCCGACUAUGCAUUUGCAUGGUUGAGGCUGAGAUAGGAACAUUUUUAAUAUGGCACUCUACGUGCCCAGAAAUGGAACUCGUAUAGGCCUACUUUAAAAGUUCUUUUCAAUGGGUUUAAUUUGAUAAAUAAAGUUUUAGGAUUUAUCGGAUCGGAAAAAAUCAUCCACCUUAGAUCCACCAUGGGACUGAGGCGCGAACAUGUAUAAAGAAUAAUGACACUCGCUCCAUAUGCUGGGAAAUGACACUCUCAAUGAAUGAAUGAAUGAAUUUGAAUCUUCAAAGUGUCUAAAUCUGAAAAAUUCGAUGUUUAAUUAUACUUAAGUUUGGAUUUUGUUGUAGAUCUGCAUGGGCUUCUGCUACAUAGCCUUCAAACAUAGGCGUGAACUCAAUAAAUCUCCACCUAACAAGAAACAUCAUAUCAUCGUUUAUGACUGAAAUAUAUUCCAUAAAUGAAAUAACCCUGAAUUACAAAGAUUAUUUUUUAGGUUAAGUUUUUUGAUCGUAUUUAUUGCAAAAAAAAUGUCUGAUAUGCUCGAUGCCAUCAUUAUAUAGAAGACAAAUAGUCUUACAAUGAAGGUUACACUCUUAUUCCAUUUGCUCCUACUGUCAAGUUCAAGUGCGUGUAAGUACAGGCCUUGAAUUUGAGGUGAGCACCAUAGAAAUUUGUUUUUAGGAAACCAGACUGUUCCCGCUGAGAGAAGUUGCUUGUCAACUGUGUGUUCUAUAUCAUCGAUUGUUUUUUUAAAGAUAUGCUAAUUGUCAGUGAAUUUUAGUAGCUCUUUACUUUUUUGUUUCGUUUCAAGCACCAUUGAAUUUCAUCUUUUUAGUGGGACCCUUUUGUGUUUGGAAUGGACUCACGAAUGUACAUACACAUCCUCAAGUUGAAACCCAGGAAUUACAUUAAUUUUUUUAGAUGAUUUUACUGGUAAACGGUAAAAAUGACUCUGGGAGGGGGUGUCCCCAUUGCAUAGGAUCCAGGACGUUAUGCCAGGGAAAUAUAAACACAUUUUUUACAUCUCUCAGGUUAAACCCUCUGAAAGCUUUCGCUAUUUAAUGUAUUAUAAGGUGAAGUCUCAUGAUUCUUAUGGUGUGUAUUCUAAAUAACCCCCUGGUCUGGUCGAGCUACAUCACUCUUCUGUAUACAAGUAUUCUACUCGUAAUUUAACCUUCAUUUAAAAACGAAUGCAGACAGACUGUACGUACCACUCACGGGGAGCCGAUGCUCUCGCUGAGCAAAAAAUUGAAAAUAACAUAAAUAUUGAGGUUUUUCAUAGCAGUUUAUUGGAAAAAAAAUUUAAUAUAUAAGUAGGCCUAUGCAAUUUUCUUUGUAAACCGGGAGAGCAUGUAAAAAAACGUGAGAAAAAAACUUGGCCGGACGUCAAGUCACUAAAAUGGCCAAAACGGGAGUGUUAGCAUGUACUAUACCAGCAAAGGUAUCACAGACAUGACCUAGAUGAGAUAAUUGUAUUGUAUAUUACCGAUGGUUUGCUGAUCAAGGGUCCGACACUA